UUGUUGACAGCUUGUGAUUGCCUGUGUUUUUCCUUAAGGUUGUAAAAUUCCCUCUUAGUACUCAUUGGCUUCCUCGAUCUACCAAUAAAAAAUGGCUGCCAUGAUAUUGGAAAGUUUUGAUGAAAUUUCUAUGAAUAGAAUUUACUGAGGCUACUGAAGUUCACCACAAUUAAUUUAGUUAUGGUAUAGUUUUACAAAUAGAUCUUUUUCAUCUGAUCCUUCUCAUGGAACAUAAAAAAAAAAUUCACUCAGAC
rnacentral:lncRNA from 1 species